rnacentral:rRNA from 1 species
CCUACGGGAGGCAGCAGUGAGGAAUAUUGGUCAAUGGGCGAGAGCCUGAACCAGCCAAGUCGCGUGAGGGAUUACUGCCCUAUGGGUUGUAAACCUCUUUUGUCGGGGAGCAAAAGCCGGACGUGUCCGGCUGUGAGAGUACCCGAAGAAACAGCAUCGGCUAACUCCGUGCCAGCAGCCGCGGUAAUGCGGAGGAUGCGAGCGUUAUCCUGAUUUAUUGGGUUUAAAGGGUGCGCAGGGGGAUGUUUAAGACAGCGGUAAAAUCGUGGGGCUCAACCCCAUCCAGCCGUUGAAACUGGGGAUCUAGAGUGUGCGAGAGGUAUGCGGAAUGCGUGGUGUAGCGGUGAAAUGCAUAGAUAUCACGAAGAACCCCGAUUGCGAAGGCAGCAUACCGGCGCACAACUGACGCUGAGGCACGAAAGCGUGGGUAUCGAACAGGAUUAGAUACCCGAGUAGUC